rnacentral:rRNA from 1 species
UACGGAGGGUGCAAGCGUUAUCCGGAUUCACUGGGUUUAAAGGGUGCGUAGGUGGGCAGGUAAGUCAGUGUGAAAUCUCCGGGCUUAACCGAACGUGACCUUGAUCACUAUCAGUCUUGAAUACCGUGGAGGUAAGCGGAAUAUGUCAUGUAGCGGUGAAAUGCUUAGAUAUGACAUAGAACACCAAUUGCGAAGGCAGCUGGCUACAGGGAUAUUGACACUGAGGCACGAAAGCGUGGGGAUCAAACAGG